UACGUAGGGGGCGAGCGUUGUCCGAAGUUACUGGGCGUAAAGCGCGCGUAGGCGGUUUCUUAAGUCUGGGGUGAAAGGUUCAGCGCUCAACGCGAACAGUGCCUUGGAUACUGGGAGACUUGAGUCUGGGAGGGGGCAGUGGAAUUCCUGGUGUAGCGGUGAAAUGCGUAGAUAUCGGAAGGAACAUCAGUGGCGAAAGCGACUUCCUGGACCAAUACUGACGCUCAUGUGCGAAAGCGUGGGGAGCAAACAGG
rnacentral:rRNA from 1 species